AUGCCUUCUUCGUUUCAAAAGUCAGUCACAAAUUCCGUAUCAAUCGUUUUCCUUGUUUCGGUUAAUACAGAAUGGAAAGGAACAGUGUUUUUUAAACGAGCAUCUGUAGGAUGAGAAUGCGAUUGUCCUCUCUCCCUUGGAAAAGCAGAGGAAGCGGUGGGAAAGUGCGAGUUAUUGUCUCGAAAACAAGCGAAUGAGCCGAAGAGAGGAGUCAUAAGAUCAGAGGAAUGAGAGAGGGUCAGCAUGUUUAUUCUGCGAGCUGUUUAUGCAUUCCUAGUGAAAUGAGAGGAAGCAUUAACCACCCUUACAGCUUCCCCUAUGUGCUGGGCUCCUCCGUCUCUGCAUGCCACUGUACGAUUGCAGUUAGUGGCCGCGUCGCCGGGCUGCCAGGGCCCCCAUGCCGUAAUGUAUUGUGCUGCAAACAAGAAGGAUGGCCGGAUCCCAGCCUCCGGGUGCCGGGGGAGCCUGCGGUGAUGCCGCCGCGCAGGUAUAUGGAUGGCCUGGGGAGGUCUCCAUCAUUCAUAAAACAUGCCGUCGCGCCAGGGUCGAAUUGAUCUUGCAAAAGAAGCAGGGUGGCACGGCGACCACUUCAUUAGUCUUCGCGCACCAACAAAUCACUGCGGCGCUAGCCUCCGAGGGACCUGCCGCCGCCACACAGCCCACCGCAGUCACCUUAGCCCCAUGCCCCCGGGGAAGGGAAA